UUUUUUUUUUUUUUGGCCACGGCUAUGGAAUUCCCAGGCCAAGGAUCAGAUCCCAGCUGCAGUUGUGACCUACGCCACAUCUGCAGAAAUGCUGAUCCUUUAACCUACUGUGCCGGGCCAGGGAUCGAACCCACGCUCUGGUGAUGCAGAGACACCACCGAUGAUGCUGUGCCACAGUGGGAACUCCCCAACCUUUUUUUACUUUCAUUUUUACAAUUUUAUGCCUGGGAGAGAUCAAAUUCUAAGCAAUACACUUGCUCAAGCCUAGAGAAACCUCAACCAUGGUACAUACUAUGUUUAGAAAAGUAAGGAAGGAGGGAGGGUAUGGCUGAGGGACAGAAGAUGGUAUCUGGAAAAUCUUCCUGCUGGUCAUGGCCGGUCAAUCACGCCAGUGCACAUACAGCCAGAGGUUCCUACAUCAGCUGCAUCGCUACCAGUGCAAACCCUCCUCACAGCGGUUCGUCCCCACCCCCUGACCGCCCGAUGUCACGGGCUUCCAGCCUCCACUCACCUGAAACUGCUUUCCAAAGGCACCAUCAGGUCCCGCUAUUCCACUGAGAAUCCAAGCUGACUUAUUAAAAUCCACAGUGUCAUCGUGUCUAACGUCUUGGUGCUCGAAGUGAGGCCUGUAGAUAAACAGCAUCACAUCACCUGGGGGCUCCUUAGAAAGGCAGGACCUCUGGUUCUACCCCAGGCCACCGAUGCAGCUCAUACCUGGUACAGAGAUUCCUGGGUACCUGAGAUGCACACCAACCUUUGAGAGGCAGCAUAGCUCCUGCCUUCCCCACUUUUCCCCAGCAUCUAGAACAGUGCCUGGCACAUAUUAGAUGCUCAUCAAAUGUUCCUUCAGGAAAUCAAAUUGCCGAAUCCAACAGCCGCUUUUGAAUCCUCAUCUCAUUUAACCCCUCCUUAUGUCUGAACAGGGGCAGUUCAUUUUUUAACAACGCUUCCUUCCUUUCUUGGUUUCCUUCCUACUGGUCCAACUUCACCUUCUCCAUCUUCACUUGCUGGAUCCUCGUUAUGAGUCAAUCCCUGAAGCGUUGUCCUUGCCCAGGAUUGGGUCACGCUGGCUUCUGGGGACCUACAUGCUUUUCCUGGUGAGUUCAUCUUUUCCCAUAGUUUUCACUAAUAGGUAAUUAGGAGUCCCGUGUAUUUAGGAUUUACCUCCAAGUCAAAUCUGUCCAGCCUCUUCUUCGACUCCAUGUUUAUAUGUCUCGUAUCCUUGGAAGAUUUCUAACUCUGAUUGCCACAUAGACUUUAAACUCGAAAUAUUGAAAUAGCACACAUUGCCCCGCCUGGCCUCUCACAACUCCGCUUGUCUCCACCACCACCUGCCCUUCAAGCCUGUACGUCACAUGAAGUUGAUGUCACCAUCUCAUCACUGGUGUAAGGAAGUAGGAGUUAGGCUACACUCUCUCCCCCUGCAAAUCAAACCAACUGCAAGUCUUAAUUCCUACAUCUAGGUUUAUGGGAUUCAUCCCAUGGGAUUUUUGAGAUAUAAUCUGAGAUAAAGUGUCAUUUCCCUCUCCAGGGUUUGAAGCCAAAGGUGGUAAAUUUUCUUCUCGUCCCACCUGAAGUCAUGCAUUCUACCACGUGGUCGGAGAAACCCAGUCCUCAGAGGGACUCUCUAGGCAAAGCACGGGGAAUCCAGAGGUAAGCGAUAAAGGUCAGAUGCAUUCUUUCUUCCAGGAGCCACUUUGUUCGAAGGCAAUUGAUUACGGACUGGCUUGCUUGGGGUGCUGGCACAUAACAGAUCAGGGAUCAGGUGCAUCUAAACCCAUUCUCGGAAGGUCAGGGACGUCACAAAAUUUUGCCAGACAGUCCCAGCAGGAAGAAUAAUUAUCCCUUAAAAAAGAUGGUUCAGUAAAGUUUUAACUACCAAAAGACUAAAAACAUAUGAACUGUUGAAGACAACAAUUGUUUGGGGUUGGGGAGGUGGGGGGCUUCAAAAAGAUAUUUCUUAGAGGGGAGGACGUAACUGGGGAUUCCCUCGGGUUCAAGACUGUAGGUCCAGCGUGAUUCUCUUUGCACCACCUGGACCAUGUGUGCUCUAUGAAUCAACAUGGCUCCACGAUAAGGUUCAGUUUUUCCUCUUUCCUUUGUAGAAGGCCACAUGCAAUGCCCAGAGACAGCCUUGUCCAGCAGAAAGCAAGCAUGCAACUAUAAAUGAACGAAUGCGUGAGCGAACGUCCACAUGGGAGUCGAUGCUCUUUUUACCUCCUCUGCAUGUGGAGAUAAGCUAGGAGCGAGUGGAAAUGGCACGGAAGAGUGGCGCUUGGGACCAGGAGGAGGGGUGGGUUGAACCCUGUGAAGACAUGGCGGGGAGGCUAACAUCCGGGUCAGGCAGCCUGACUCUCCCUCCCUCCCCUAGGGAUAGGAACAGCUGUGGCCUACCCGCUCCGCCCCGGGCAGGAGUGGACGCCUGGAUCCCAGGCGAGCAGGUUUGGGGCGAUCUACCCGUCACGUGUGUGAAUGAGCACCCCGAGAACUGCACUAGGUGGAAGUGGGUGCGGGAGGAACAAAGGGUGCGGAAGGGGACCCAGCUUCAGCGAUGUGGCCUUCAGGAGCUUCCUCUAGUAGGACUCUGCCCAACCUCAUUUUACCCAAACCUGAGCGGAGAGUCUCUGAGAUCUUGAUGCCGACACAAGCUCAAGCUGAGUAACAUCCAGCUUCAUUUCCUUAUGGCGCUCCAUCUCUCCACCUACCACCUGUCUAUUAUCUUUCUAUCCAUCUACCCAUCCAUCUAUCUAUCUAUCAACUAUUUCUGUCUAUCUGUUGGUAAUCCCUAUCAUCUAUCUGCCUACAUAUCAUCUACCUAUUGCCUACCUAUUCUCUCUAUAUAUAUCUAUCAUCUGUCUAUCUAGCUAUCAUCUCUAUAGCCAUUUAUUUAUCUACCUACCUACAUAUCACCUACUUGCCUACAUAUCAUCUAUUUACCUAUUAUCUAUCUGUCUGUCCAUCUAUCUGUCCUCUAUCUACCUAACUCAUUUAAGAUACGUUUAUUAAGAUCCUAUCCUGGACUUACUCUAAGUAUCUUUAAAAUACAGGGGCAAGAAAUUAAGUUGAGUGCCUGUGUACCACACAGGGAAUACAUACAAUGGUAUUGAAUUUGCUAACUCAUUUCAUAAAGUAAGUCUGAGGAUUCCAUUUCACCUCUAGGAAACUGCAGCUCAGAGAGGCUGAGCAGUUUGUCCAAAAACACAUCGCCAAGAAGGGACAGAACUAACAUUGACUGUGAUUCUUUGAGCCUAGGCUCUUGCCAACACCAAGCUGAACUUUAAAUGUAAGAGAGCUGCUUUAUGGACUUGAUAGUAUCCAAAUCCUUCCCUUCCAUUACUUCUGUAACUGGGAUCUUGAGGAGGCGAGGUAAGAGGGGGAAAGCCCGAGCCACCAAACAUCAGUAGACCCUUGUGUGAAGACUCUCGGAAAGCACGUUGGAGCUGAGGGUUAAGAUUCUGGGACAUGAAUCAUUUCCCUUGGGAAACACUGGUGUCUGUGCCC
rnacentral:lncRNA from 1 species